rnacentral:rRNA from 1 species
GUGGGGAAUAUUGGGCAAUGGGCGCAAGCCUGACCCAGCAACGCCGCGUGAAGGAAGAAGGCUUUCGGGUUGUAAACUUCUUUUAUGAGGGACGAAUAGAUGACGGUACCUCAUGAAUAAGCCACGGCUAACUACGUGCCAGCAGCCGCGGUAAUACGUAGGUGGCAAGCGUUAUCCGGAUUUACUGGGUGUAAAGGGCGUGUAGGCGGGACUGCAAGUCAGAUGUGAAAUUCCAGGGCUCAACCCUGGACCUGCAUUUGAAACUGUGGUUCUUGAGUGAUGGAGAGGCAGGCGGAAUUCCCUGUGUAGCGGUGAAAUGCGUAGAUAUAGGGAGGAACACCAGUGGCGAAGGCGGCCUGCUGGACAUUAACUGACGCUGAGGCGCGAAAGCGUGGGGAGCAAACAGGAUUAGAAACCCGAGUAGUCC